ensembl:lncRNA LINC01182 long intergenic non-protein coding RNA 1182
AUUGCUUGAGGCUUGCUCUUGGGAAUGGUAGCUCCCUGGAACUUCUGUCCAGCCUGCAUAUCUGGACUGUGCAGGGGAUACUUCUAUGGCCAGAAAAAGCCCUUGGGCAGAGAGAAGCAGGUUCUUGAUGCUGAGAUGUCUGCGUGCUUGGGAGUUGACCACUGCAGCUGCAGGAGCUGCCUGGCAAUGGUAGCAGGUGAAGGUCAUGGUGAAGAAGAUGCAGAUAUUGGCAAUUUGGAGCAUUAGAUGAACUAAUUACAACGUUAACCUAAGGAACAGUGCAACAGAAAAUGGGCUAAGACAUGGAGCAAGGGGCAGAACGACUCUUGAAGAUGCUGAGCAACUUCUGCUUAUAAAGUUGAUUCACUGACUGCUGGUUUGAAAUGGUGUCUGCUAACAAACAGUUGCUGGUACAGCUUCUCUGUAAUGUGAGGUAAAAUACCUAUAAAAGCUUAGAAGAAGAUGUAAACUCAGAACACAGCCAUAAACUUGGACUGACAAUCCCCUGAAGACUGGAUCUGGGAGGACUUUUUGCCAAUAGUACUGCCAAUGAAACUGAAAAGAAAAGAACAUUCUAUGGGUGUGGGUGUGUUACUGAGGAAAUGCUCUGUAGGCAAGAGAAGUCCAGGAAGAAGUUGCACAGAAUACUAUUUUAGUCUACCAGAACCACGGUUAGUAAAGCCUGCUGGAAUGUGGAGCUGAUCUAGGAGCUGUGGGCAUUCAGCUGGAGGCCAUCUGUUGAGAUGAGAACCUGUGAAGAUGGAAGGAACCUAGAUGUUUGAGUCAUGGGGUGGAGAAGAGACCAUGUAAACCUACAUUGAAAUUUGUGUGACUCCCUCCCCCUCAACCAGCUUAGAAGUCGGGUGGAAGAGGAAGCUGGAUGGAACAACAUGAGCCCUGGUCAGGGCAGACUUAAGCCAGGAGAUGAAGUGCCAUAUACAGAGAAAACCUCAGUGGGAUCCCAGAUGGAGCACAAUUCCUGGCUACCAUAACAAAAUACCACAAACUACAUGGCUUAAACAACAGAAAUUUAUCUUUUCCCAGUUCUGGAGGCCAGAAGAUACAGAUCAAGAUGUCGACAAGGCUGAGCAGAGUCCCUGAGGCCGAGAAAACGAGCACAGUGCUGACUGCUUGGAAUCCGGUAAUAUUUCCCUUCAGGCUGCUGCUCUGACUGGCUUUUCAGAAGAGUGUUGCUUCUAAUAGAAAAUUCCUUAUUUUCACCUGUGAAGAAAUCUGAUUUGGACAGUGAGUAUCUUUUGUCUUCUGAAAUGCUAAUUUUUACAACAUUGAGACAGCAGCUGCAGACGUGGAUUUGACAGUCCACCUCCCUUCUACAGCACAGCUGAGUAAAGAGAGUAUGACUUGAGCAUGUAGGUAAGACAGUUUUCAUCCUUAACCAUCACAGCUGGAGAGAUCUUGAUCUUCAUGGUGCUCCCUCCAUACAUUCUAUAGACUUAAUUUUUGGUAGGUACAGUGUGAUGUGUAACUUUUCCAAGAUCAGAGAAUAUCAGGGAGAAUAUCAUAGGCACCAUCUGUCUGUUUUUCAGAGAUAUCCAAACUAUGGCCCAGUGAUUUAUUAUGUAUUAAUUCAACAAUGGCAACAGCACCAUUCUGCCAAACCUUAAUUACUCUCUAUUUGAGGUUGGAUGAAGUCAGAGCUUUGGUUCUAGCCAGUACUCGGUUUAACUGCUCAGAUCUGAGCAUCAAGAUUUUAUGAAACCCCAUCUCUAUUGAAUUUACAAAAAAAAAAAAAAAA